rnacentral:rRNA from 1 species
CAGCAGCCGCGGUAAAACGUAGGUGGCAAGCGUUGUCCGGAAUUAUUGGGCGUAAAGGGCUCGCAGGCGGUUUCUUAAGUCUGAUGUGAAAGCCCCCGGCUCAACCGGGGAAGGUCAUUGGAAACUGGGAAACUUGAGUGCAGAAGAGGAGAGCAGAAUUCCACGUGUAGCGGCGAAAUGCGUAGAGAUGUGGAGGAACACCAGUGGCGAAGGCGACUCUCUGGUCUGUAACUGACGCUGAGGAGCGAAAGCGUGGGGAGCGAACAGGAUUAGAUACCCCUGUAGUCCCUGUCUCUUAUAC